rnacentral:rRNA from 1 species
CUCCUACUGGAGGCAGCAGUGAGGAAUAUUGGUCAAUGGACGAGAGUCUGAACCAGCCAAGUAGCGUGAAGGAUGACUGCCCUAUGGGUUGUAAACUUCUUUUAUACGGGAAUAAAGUUAGCCACGUGUGGUUUUUUGCAUGUACCGUAUGAAUAAGGAUCGGCUAACUCCGUGCCAGCAGCCGCGGUAAUACGGAGGAUCCGAGCGUUAUCCGGAUUUAUUGGGUUUAAAGGGAGCGUAGGCGGGGUAUUAAGUCAGUUGUGAAAGUUUGCGGCUCAACCGUAAAAUUGCAGUUGAUACUGGUAUCCUUGAGUGCAGCAGAGGUGGGCGGAAUUCGUGGUGUAGCGGUGAAAUGCUUAGAUAUCACGAAGAACUCCGAUUGCGAAGGCAGCUCACUGGAGUGUAACUGACGCUGAUGCUCGAAAGUGUGGGUAUCAAACAGGAUUAGAUACCCUGGUAGUCCACACAGUAAACGAUGAAUACUCGCUGUUGGCGAUACAAUGUCAGCGGCCAAGCGAAAGCAUUAAGUAUUCCACCUGGGGAGUACGCCGGCAACGGUGAAACUCAAAGGAAUUGACGGGGGCCCGCACAAGCGGAGGAACAUGUGGUUUAAUUCGAUGAUACGCGAGGAACCUUACCCGGGCUUAAAUUGCAGACGAAUUACCUGGAAACAGGUAAGCCGCAAGGCGUCUGUGAAGGUGCUGCAUGGUUGUCGUCAGCUCGUGCCGUGAGGUGUCGGCUUAAGUGCCAUAACGAGCGCAACCCUCGUGGUCAGUUACUAACAGGUCAAGCUGAGGACUCUGGCCAGACUGCCAUCGUAAGAUGCGAGGAAGGUGGGGAUGACGUCAAAUCAGCACGGCCCUUACGUCCGGGGCUACACACGUGUUACAAUGGGAGGUAUAGAAGGCAGCUACCCGGCGACGGGAUGCCAAUCUCCAAAACCUCUCUCAGUUCGGACUGGAGUCUGCAACCCGACUCCACGAAGCUGGAUUCGCUAGUAAUCGCGCAUCAGCCACGGCGCGGUGAAUACGUUCCCGGGCCUUGUACACACCGC